CAGAGCGCCUGCCCAGCCCUGCUAUCUGAUUGGGUGGCUUCUGUCUUCGAACUCUCAGGACCCCUUGGGCGCCCUCAACGGUCACCGAGCUGAUGUGGAAAGAUGAGUGAGCUGUGUAUUAUGAUAAGAACAAAGGAAUGCUCAAAUUACGUUGUUAAGAAAUUAUGUUACACCAUUGUUCUACUUCAGUCGCCAGCUGCUGGCCCUGGUUACUAGCAAGCCAUUCUGAGUCCUGUAUCUUAUUUGUCACCACAUGUCCAAGAGCUCCAAAACCUGACAUGAUACUUGUUGACCCAGGUGAUGACCAAUCUGAGUGAGAAUUGGAAUUUGUGGCAUGUCAGAGGCUUGUAAACCUAAACUAAUUCCUACCACCUGCAACAAACAUACAGCUAACAAAUGGAAAAGAUAGAGAAUCGGAAAAGAAAAACAUUUGAAAAUUGGAUUAAUAUGGAAAUAACCUGUAAUAAAUCACUGAAUUGAAUUCAGACUACCUUCAUGCAGCAUUUUCUGUGAGUCACUUGUUUUUUGCAUGAUGUUAUAAUAAACCUGAAAUGUUGUCAUCAGUUCCCUCACAGUUUGAGCAAUUAUUAAUAUAGCUAAUUGGCAUGAGAAUGAAAUAACUGCUUUAACAGUGGAAGGUUGGGUAACUUCAUAACCAUUCAGGCAUAAUGGGCCAUAAGAGUACAUUUACAGUAUCACUUAUCAGAAGGUCAACCUGAAAAUACAUUGUAUAUCUUUAUAAUUUAGAUUUUCAGUCAACUGAUUUUUUAUCAUAUUUUAAAAAUAUUUAACAAAACCAGGUUUCCUUGUUUAAAUGAGUGUCCCAUAAAUAG